UACAGAGGGGGCGAAGCAGUUGUUCGGUGAAUUACUGGGCGUAAAGGGCGCGUAGCGGCCUUCUAAGUCGAACGUGAAAUCCCCGGGCUCAACCCGGGAACUGCGUCCGAUACUGGAAGGCUUGAAUCCGGGAGAGGGAUGCGGAAUUCCAGGUGUAGCGGUGAAAUGCGUAGAUAUCUGGAGGAACACCGGUGGCGAAGGCGGCAUCCUGGACCGGCAUUGACGCUGAGGCGCGAAAGCGUGGGGAGCGAACAGG
rnacentral:rRNA from 1 species